GUGCUCCUUUCGGCAGCACACAUACCUAAAACUGGAACAAUGCAGAGAAGAUUAGCACAGACCCUGGGCAAGGAUGACACACAAGUUUGUGAAUGUUCGAUAUUUUUU